GUGGAGCAUGCGUGACUUGGCAGAAAAUGAACUCAAUGACUGAGAAGAAAGCCCCUGGGUACCAGUAUCGGUGGGAUGAAGCCCACGUACAGCACACAUUUGUAACACAAAAAAGCAGGGGAUGGUUUCUGCCAUAAACUUGAAUAUUUUUCUGCAGAACUUUUCAACUGCAGUUGCUAGUCUACAGAAACUUCCUGUCUGUCCACGAAGAUGUUAAUGCCCCAACAUACAAUGUGCCUAGAUCAUGUGUUGGUGUGAUUGUCAGUCUUGCUAUCUGAACAGUCUCACUGUGAAUAAUGUUUUUUGUUUGUUUGUUUGUUUUCCCUUAGCAAUAUACAAACUAUCACUGUUCUUUGGACAGAUUGUCAGAUGCGAAAAGGUUGAAAACCACUUGUUUUUCAGUCCUGAGUUGUUCAGUAGUUUGGCCAAUGGCAGAAAAUAUGUACUAUGUGGUUCUAAAAGGGUCUGUCUUAAUGUUUAGGUGUGUUGCAGGCAAUACCCUCCUGGUUUGUUUAAUUAUACCCUGUGAUAUUCA